UACGGGGGGGGGCAAGCGUUGUUCGGAAUUACUGGGCGUAAAGGGCUCGUAGGCGGCCAACUAAGUCAGACGUGAAAUCCCCAGGCUCAACCUGGGAACUGCGUCUGAUACUGGAUGGCUUGAAUCCGGGAGAGGGAUGCAGAAUUCCAGGUGUAGCGGUGAAAUGCGUAGAUAUCUGGAGGAAUACCGGUGGCGAAGGCGGCAUCCUGGCCCGAUACUGACGCUGAGGCACGAAAGCGUGGGGAGCAAACAGG
rnacentral:rRNA from 1 species